CCGGGCGGCCGGGGCGCUCGCAAAGUUCGGAUCCGCAAGGACCGGGCCAGCGGGACGUCCGCGUGGCAGGGUGCACUUUUUCCCCGGUCGAGUGCUACGACCGGUUUCGAGGCGGUCAGAAGCCCGGCGGAAAGGUAGCGCCGCCCUUCGGGGUGUCGUGUUAUAGGCCGCCGCGGUGGACUCGCCGCGAGACCGAGGACGCUUGCCGCGCCGAGCGGUCCCGGGCCGUCUUGGGAGGUUCGACCUCGGCUGCACUGCUCCGCAGAGCACCGUAACCGCCGCCCUAGCACGGGUCCGGAGACUGCCGGCGCCUCGGGUCAGUAGCG
rnacentral:rRNA from 1 species